UGUGACCGCAUCAGGGCAGUUAGUAGAUGCCCCUCUGGGAGAGAUCCCCAGGGGUGACAGCCAUGGACCCUGGAAGGGCCUGGGCUAGGGACAGGGACCAGAGCCAGUCCAGGGAGAGGACAGAGCCAAUGGACUGGGGUGUACUGUAACAGCCCUGCUGGCGAGAGGGACCAGGGCACCGUCCUCCAGGGAGCCCAUGCUGCAAGUCGGGCCAGAGGUGCCCCUGACCCUGAAGGCCAAUGAGACCCAAGACAGGCCAAGUGGGUUGUGAGACCCCUGAGGAGCUGGGCCCUGGUCCCAGGCAGCGCUGGCCCCUGCUGCUGCUGGGUCUGGCCAUGGUCGCCCAUGGCCUGCUGCGCCCAAUGGUUGCACCGCAAAGCGGGGACCCAGACCCUGGAGCCUCAGUUGGAAGCAGCCGAUCCAGCCUGCGGAGCCUGUGGGGCAGGCUCCUGCUCCAGCCCAGCCCCCAGAGAGCAGACCCCAGGUGCUGGCCCCGGGGGUUUUGGUCUGAGCCUCAGUCACUGUGUUAUGUCUUCGGAACUGGGACCAAGGUCACCGUCCUAGGUCAGCCCAAGGCCAACCCCACAGUCACCCUGUUCCCGCCCUCCUCUGAGGAGCUCCAAGCCAACAAGGCCACACUAGUGUGUCUGAUCAGUGACUUCUACCCGGGAGCCGUGACAGUGGCCUGGAAGGCAGAUGGCAGCCCCGUCAAGGCGGGAGUGGAGACCACCACACCCUCCAAACAGAGCAACAACAAGUACGCGGCCAGCAGCUACCUGAGCCUGACGCCUGAGCAGUGGAAGUCCCACAGAAGCUACAGCUGCCAGGUCACGCAUGAAGGGAGCACCGUGGAGAAGACGGUGGCCCCUACAGAAUGUUCAUAGGUUCCCAACUCUCACCCCACCCACGGGAGCCUGGAGCUGCAGGAUCCCAGGGGAGGGGUCUCUCUCCCCAUCCCAAGUCAUCCAGCCCUUCUCCCUGCACUCAUGAAACCCUAAUAAAUAUCCUCAUUGACAACCAGAAA